GUUCGGUUGUUCUUGUGUCGGACAUCUGCAAAGAUUUUUUCAAGAAAACUCGUAGAAAGCGGCGGAUUGCUUGCGACGACCAGUCAAUCGACGAUGCUAAGACAUGACGCUGCGCGAGCUCUGGCUGCGAGUUCUCGCUGCUCUGUUCCUGACGGAUCUGGCGGCGAGCGAAUGUCCCACCAACACCUGGCUGGAGACGGGCGACGGCAACUGCUAUCUGCCGCUACUCAGCCCGCCGUUCGACAUGCCGACCGUCUACAAUGCAACCGAGAUGUGCAAAAUCAUCGAGGAAACAGCCUAUCUCGCAGAAAUCUACAACGAACAUGACCAAGCUGUGGUGAACGGACUGACCCCGUGGCACUCCUGGCUGGGUCUGCGGCGCGACUCCCUGGAAAGCCCGUUCUACUGGCCCUCCGGGCACCCCGUGACCUACACCAACUGGCGUAGUGGCCACCCAGUGAACGAUACCGCUCUCUUCUGUGCGUUCCUAUAUGAGGAUGGCAAAUGGCUCAGUUAUAAGUGUGAUUAUGGAUAUGCCAUGGUAAUUUGUCAAACCAAAGCGGUGCAUGUAUAAAUACCUAACCUACAUGUGUUUUUCAAGUCAGAACGAUGAGCCGUCAAGAACUUUCUGCGGCUUAGAGAAAUAAAAGCAAUGCAAAGAUGCA